rnacentral:misc_RNA from 1 species
AAGAUUCGGCUCUUGGGCCACCAAUCUCUUUGGCUGUGCGCCUCGGCUGCACGCCAUUGAAUCUCACACACCUGUGCACAAUAUCGGUUGCGACCGUCGCCGGUCGCUUCCGCCUUUUCACAUACAAACACAAGUUCAGAAUGUAACAAAACCAUAAUGUAA